rnacentral:tRNA from 1 species
GGGACGGUCUCUGGUGAGCUAGGCGGAUUUGAACUCUGCCUAGGAGUGUUCAAUUCAUUCUUCGUCUU